rnacentral:rRNA from 1 species
UGGGGAAUCUUCCGCAAUGGACGAAAGUCUGACGGAGCAACGCCGCGUGAGUGAAGACGGCCUUCGGGUUGUAAAGCUCUGUGAUUCGGGACGAAAGGCCAUAUGUUAAUAAUAUAUGGAAAUGACGGUACCGAAAAAGCAAGCCACGGCUAACUACGUGCCAGCAGCCGCGGUAAUACGUAGGUGGCAAGCGUUGUCCGGAAUUAUUGGGCGUAAAGCGCGCGCAGGCGGUCACUUAAGUCCAUCUUAGAAGUGCGGGGCUUAACCCCGGGAUGGGAGGGAAACUGGGAGACUGGAGUAUCGGAGAGGAAAGUGGAAUUCCUAGUGUAGCGGUGAAAUGCGUAGAUAUUAGGAAGAACACCGGUGGGGAAGGGGACUUUCUGGACGAAAACGGACGCCGGGGCGCGAAAGCGGGGGGAGCAAACAGG